GAUGAACGCUGGCUACAGGCUUAACACAUGCAAGUCGAGGGGAAACGACGGGGAAGCUUGCUUCCCCGGGCGUCGACCGGCGCACGGGUGAGUAACGCGUAUCCAACCUGCCUCUGACUGAGGGAUAACCCGUCGAAAGUCGGCCUAAUACCUCAUGGUAUCGUCUGCGGGCAUCCAACGACGAUUAAAGAUUUCAUCGGUCAGGGAUGGGGAUGCGUCUGAUUAGCUUGUUGGCGGGGUAACGGCCCACCAAGGCUACGAUCAGUAGGGGUUCUGAGAGGAAGGUCCCCCACAUUGGAACUGAGACACGGUCCAAACUCCUACGGGAGGCAGCAGUGAGGAGUAUUGGUCAAUGGGCGAGAGCCUGAACCAGCCAAGUAGCGUGCAGGAAGACGGCCCUAUGGGUUGUAAACUGCUUUUAUGCGGGGAUAAAGUGAGGGACGUGUCCCUCAUUGCAGGUACCGCAUGAAUAAGGACCGGCUAAUUCCGUG
rnacentral:rRNA from 1 species